CUGCGCUUGAUUUGUGCACAUACCAUUCUUAACAACACUUGGCAAUUAAUGGGAGCUAAACAAACUCUGGAAUAUCAACAAGGAUUGAUUUAACAACCAAAAUGUCCUGGGGAUUCAGUGCUGGUACCCCUAAUAGACCAUUCGACUUGUUUUGAUGAAUGGGACGACAGUAACCUAAACACAAGGCCUCAGUUGCUAGAACAAUAAAUCAAUCACAUCCAACUAACCUACAGAAGUAGGUAUUGUCUUCCAAAACCAGCCAUAACCACCACACACACGCAAGCGGAGAAAAAAAUAAAAAAUAUCGACUCAAAGAUGCAUCACAAUCCACAUGGCACACACGAAUUCCCCUUGGGAGGAAAUAAUACCUCCAACGUUAGCAAGCUAGAAAACACAACAGCAACUAACAACUGAAAUGGAUGGCACUGGCUCCUGGGGCUUCCCCAAAGUAACCAACUACAAAGAGGCCAGAAGAUCAUAAUUGCCUUGAGGCAAUGCUCUCAUAGGGAACCAUUUAAUUCCCAAAAGCUGCAAAAGAAAUCUUCCUCCCUGUAGUUACUAGCAUUUUACCGUUUUGCAAGGCCAGAUCAUGUAAAUUCCUUGCAGUGAACCAUUUAGUCAAUAUGCUUCUGUAGCAGGGCAUGCAAAACAACAAAUGCACAUCUCUAGAUUUUAACUUACCAAGCCAUCAUACAAUAUGCAAUAAACGCCACAAAGUUGUAAGAAAAUACAUAAGCAAAUAUGAUCCAAGUAAAUAAGAGAAUUAUAUUCUGAAGUCUGAACCAGUAAUAACUAGCUACAAUAGCAGGGCCAUUGAUGGCAACAACUACUUAGAAACCGCUUUCACCGCCAAAACUUCCAUUCCCACGAAAAUUGUUGUUGAAAGUACGUGGACCACUAGGUCUUUCUUGCGCAUAACUCACACGAAUGUUUCGCCCAUGUAAUUCCUGGCCAUCCAUGGCUGACAAAGCUGAGCUUGCAGACUCAACACUUGAGUAGUCAACAAACCCAAAUCCCCUUGACCUCCCAGAAUCUCUAUCAGUGAUAACCCUUGCACUAACCACGUCACCAAACCCAGAAAAAGCAUCCUUUAGAGACUCGUCAUUGGUUCCGAAUGAAAGACCUCCCACAAAAAGCUUCGUAGAUGACAUGCACCGAAUAGAAUUCAACAUAGAAGCCAUUUGAACAUGCCCAUUCUGGGAAAAGUUUUGCCUCACCAGGCUCCCAAGUUUGUUACAAAAAGCCAUUUAGAAUACUUGGCUUUGAGAAGAAAAUCGACGAAAACAAAAGGGAGCGGCUAGGGUUUAAGAGCCGAGUAGAAUCGAGAGUGCUCAAGUAUCUUCCAG
rnacentral:misc_RNA from 1 species